UUAAAAAUAGAAUAUUGACAUUACAAUAUACACCUAUCACUUCACACUCAGCACAUUCAGCACAGGAGGGCGGUAUGCACCGAAAAAGUUGGUAUGCGACCCGCCAGUAAAUCCAUGGAAGAAGAAAAAGAAGAAGAAAUGUAGAUAAUAAAUCAGACUGAUACAAAUAAUGUUUAGUAAAAGUCAAUCGCACAUAUAAAAUGUGUGUUUUUAUAAAGUCAGCCGGACUGAAUGUCAAAACAGCCUGAAAACAAACGACAUUCUCAACCUAAAGGAAGCGGAAAUUUGUUGUUACGCAAUUUGCAUAUCCUGGCGGCAACAUUCAUAAAAUGCGUUAAUGCUGCGCAUGUCUGAAAUAGAUCGCCACGCAAUUAAGCUUAAAACAAACAGAAUGCACGAUUGUAAGCCUAAAUGAGAUGGCCGCGCCAUAAACUGUAUUAAACAGCACACGAACAGCCGAGAUGACCGCGCCAUCAACUGAAUUAAACGGCAAACAAACGGAAUCCACGAUUUUAUCCACGAGAAGACAAGCGGUUGUCAAAGAAUCUCCACUUAUUGCUGACUUUAUGAGCAGAUGGCCGGCUUUGUUCCAAGAAAAUUAGGUUUGUGCUGAAUUUGUACGGGUAACAACUGUUGCCUUAAUUUCAAAAUUCUUCUCAAAGCUGGAUGAACACACUCCAAGUCUUCUGAGGAUCUUUGCCAAGAGAGGUGGAGCUCCGGGACAAAGGAUAAGGAAACUUCUUGUGCCACUUACACAGUGUGCCUGCAUUAAUGUUAAGAGGGAGUGUGUCCUCAAAGCCCUGUUUGUCUACCUAAAUGAGGAUCCUGACAAUCUCAUCAAGGAGUACAUGGAUGUAGAUUUUUGAAGCUGCACUCAAAGAAAUGGUGAUGGGUGUUUUUGUCAUCAGAUGUGAAGUUGGUGAUGAACCUGCGGAUGUUGGAGUAGUUCUUGAAGGAGUUACAGCACUAGAAGGGCUUGGUAAUGUAGCUAAUGGUGUUGCAUUGCUGGUUGGGCUUAUUUAUGCCCUAAAUCUUAGUUAUCCGAAGGAGUUUCGAUACACCUUUGAACUCCUGCAAAAAGUGUUCCUGGAGCUUGAUGGACACAAACUCUCCACCAAAGUUCAAGCCCUCAAGACCAAGCUUUUUACACCUCAUUAAAGGACUGAUGAACAGACUGAUCUUUACCUUGAAACUGUUUUUUGUCAAAUAGUCAAAACAUGUUCAUGUUCACACAUUUUUAAUGCCUUUAUUGAUUUGAUUUUUUUUUUUUUUUGUACAUCAAGGCAUAUGUGAAGAGGAAUAGUUUCCUUAAAAAUUACAUUUAUCCUUAACUCACCCAAAGAAGGUCAAGGAAAACCAUCAAGGGUUUCAAUGACUCAUGGGUUAGUUAAUGGUGACUAUUUUAAUUAUUUUUUUUUUUUUUGUCAAACUUGUCCUUUUAAACACUUUUUUCAAUGACGGUUUUAAUGGCUUCUGACUGUUCUUCAAGGAAAGAGGUUUGAAUGACAAUGUAUUUUAAAUAGUUUUCAAAGAUGUUCCACAUGGCACACAUUGUGUUUGCUUUUCCUUUACAAAAAUUAUCCAGGCACAUUUUGGAAUUAGAAUACAUUUACAGACAGCUUGAUGGACACAGGCAGUUUGAUAAAGUUUUGCACUUCAGUGGAGGCCUGAUGAACAAACAUAACCCAAACAUAAUAUUAUUUUUUUUCUUUGGAAUUGCAGGUUACUUUCUUUUUGUGAAAUGCAUUAAAAGUAAACACACUUUGCUUUUUUUAUUUUUUAUUAAUGGGUUGUACAUGUAGGAAUGUAAACCUGUUUGUUUCACUUUGCAUUGUAAAGGAAAACAUUU